rnacentral:rRNA from 1 species
GGGUACGAUCAUACCAACACUUAUGCACCAGAUCCCAUCAGAACUCCGUAGUUAAGCGUGUUUGGGCGAAAUUAAUACUAAGAUGGGUGACCUCCCGGGAAGUACUCGUGUUGCAUCCU